AAUAUUAGUACGAAAGUUGUAUGGCUCAAUAGAACAAUGAUAUCAAACAUCUUAAAUUUCUAGUAAUAGAAGAGUGUCAUAUAAAAUUGGAGCUAUCAUCUUUAGCUCAUACUAAUACUUCAAUUUUUUCCGAGCUAUACAUCAAUAAUAAAAUUUUCCUUAUAACAAACCAUCUCUUUUUUGACUAGUAACAGGGACAGCGAACCUAGAUGAGAAAUUACACAAAAGCCCAUCUUCUUCUACACGAGCUCCAUCAUCAAAAUUCAAGGCAUAACUUUGAGCAUCAUAUUGAAAUUGGGCUUUAUUUGAUUUCUUCAAAUUGCAGUGUACUCCAAUUUUCUUUACCAAAUUCUUCAUAAUCUUGAUCUUUAUACUAGCCAUGACUCUUUUUGCUCUAGCAAAGACCUGCUGUGAACUUCGUGGGCUUGGGCCCAAUUAAAGCAAGAAAACUUUAAACAACCACACGGCUCGCAACCAGUCGGAGAAGAUGAUGAAUAUUCCUCGUAGAGAUUGGUAUUUUUGUCGCCGUCUUGUUUUUGCUCUGCUAUGGGAGUAUAAUUGUUCAUGAUAUUGGAUGAAUAAGAUCCUUUCACUCUUGUUAAAGGUCUCGGGUUCGAGCUUUAAAUACGAAAAAGAAUUUUGAAAGAGGCGCUUUUAAUAGGACUUACACAACGCGAAUCCAAAUUAGUCGCGCACAAGAGGAAAGAUUAUAUACUUCUAUGCUUAACCAGAAAUCUUGAGUUUGAGCUUUGAUAGAAAACGCUAUGCAAAUCUGAAUUAGUCGAGCGAAUACCGCCGAGUGAAAUAAAUCAGAAAAAAUAUGUAUAUGUUUGUUGGGGGAGGGUGUGAAGAAGGAGAAUGAAUGGGUGUUUACUUAUAAUGUAUUUGUUAGUGCGUGUGCAAUGUGUGUGUGAAAGGAAAAGGGGAGUGAGAAGAGGGCAAGUGGCUGCAAAAGGAAGAGCAGAGAAAUAAUAAACCUAUAGGAUUACAAGGAAGGUUCUUUGUAUUUAUAUUUAUAAUAAAAGCAAAAUCUAACAGGAAAAGGAUUGUUGUUUCCUUAUCCACAUAAAUAAAGGAAAGGAGUGUAGGGUAAAGAUUAAUAUAAAGGAGUACAAGGAAGGUUCUUUUCAAAAACAUUUAAUGUGGCAUAUAUCUUAGCAAAAUUUAAUAUGCAACGGGGUUGCUAUUUUUCAUAUCCACAUCAAUAAAGGAAAGGAGUGUAGGUUGAAGAUUAAUAUAAACGUUGUCAAAAUACAAUGACCUUUUUUUAAAAAAAAUAAAAAAUAAAAAAUUGGCAUUCAUAAGACAAAACUCACUUAUGCAACUAAUUCAUUUUCGUGCCCAUUUCAAGAGUAACGAUACCAACCAAGAUUUAUUUCAUUUCACGGAAUUCAAAUUUGGGAUUUCUGAUUAAAAAUUAUGGAUAGAUGUUUCAUACGGUGCGUCAUACGGUGCAUUUUUUAUUUCUUUAAAUAGGAAAAUACCAUCUAUUGUUUACUGGUCAAUUCUUAAAAACAACAACAACAACAGCAGCAGCAACAACAACAAUAAUAAUAAUAAUAAUAAUAAUAAUAAUAAUAAUAAUAAUAAUAAUAAUAAUAAUAAUAAUAAUUUUGUUUUUAUGAAUUUCUUUAUCCGAAAACAAAUAUCUUAUCUGUUAGGUAUAGUAAAUCCCACUAGUCUUCAUCAAAGUAAAGACGGAUGGAAAGAGUGUUGUGGCUCUGAAUGUCGCGUCUACAACGUGUGAUGAUAAGUUGAUACAUCACAUGCAUUUAACUUGCGUAUUAAAAGUUUUCUUAAUAUUCUGAGAGUAGUACUAUUUAAGUCUUAGGCACAACGGUAAAGACUAUCCUGAUUUUACGAGGGAUGACGAUAGGGCGGUGCGAGUGCGAGGCGGGGCGGGUUUAGACAUAUGCGGGGCGGGGCGGGACGGAUUUAUAUAUAUGCGGGAGCGGAGCGGGGCGGGUUAAACUAAAAAAAAAUAAUUUUUUGUGGGUGCGGGUGUGAGUUUAAAUACUCAUUUUUCACACAACUGAAAAGGAAUAAAAAAUGUUUAAUUUUAACAAAUCCAAUCUCAUACACUAUAAAUUAAUGUUCUUCUAUUAUGACAAAAACAAUGAGGUCACUUGACGAAUAAGUAUAAUACAAAUCUCUACGGUAACUGUAUGAAAACACAGAGUAAAAACUUGAACAAUAACAGAAAAUGAGAAAAUUACCCGCUACUUCUGAUUGAAAUAAAUUAAGAUGUUAAAAUAUUUAUUCUGACUAUGCGUGUAUACAUGCUGAUCCCGCGUUCAUUGACCGCAAAAAUAAAAUAAGACAAAUUGAAAAGGAAAAAAAAAGUUGCGGGGCGGGGCGGGUGGAUGCGGGUUAAAAGAGCUAUGCGGGGCGGGUUGAAAUUUUGCGAGUUAAGAAAGAACCCGCCCCGCCCGCACCCGCACCGUCCUGCACCGCUUGCCAUCCCUAGACUUUACCUUGAGAUGAAGUGUUAUGGAUCCAAUAUCCAUAACCAAUUAUCCUUAAUUAUUGUUACUUUUCAGUGUAAUUCCUUUGUUAUAGUAUCAAUAUAUCAAUCUCUUAUUUUUGUAUUUGAUCGUGAAUAUUGGAUCCAUAACAUGAAGUCAUGGUAUUCUUGGAUAUUUUGACUAGCAAAUGCUUCUCUUAUUCAUCUUCUUUUUUUCUUUCUCAAUUUCUUCCUUUUUGUAUGUUUGGUUUUUUUUUUGGAGGGGGGGGGGGUGGUUAGGUCUAAAAUCGUGUAACUUGAUGUUUGCUUUGUUAGUGAAGACAUUGAAAUGAUACUAAUCAAGUCAUUCAUUAACCAAAGUAUACUGUGGAUUAUGCCAUGUGCACAUCAUGAUGUGCUGACUAAUGCCCACCUUCAUCCAAAUAUAUGCUAGCUAUUCUUUGUGUGUAAUCUAAUACUGAAUCUUUUAUUUUCUCUUUCUUUUUGUUUUUCCCUUUUUGCCGACAAAAAACAACAUCUUGUGAUCUUACAAAAAGUAUGAGUCAUAUGCAAGUCAUAUUCUUAUGCAAUGACAGAAUAUACUAUGGUAUUAUAUUAAAAAUAUUUUUAAAAGGGAAUUCUCUUUUGACCUCUUUAGUGAAAAUACUGCUACCAUCUUUACCAAAUGAUCUUUGUUUUCAAAGGUGAAACUUCGAGAUAUCUUUUAGCUCCUCAACACAAAAUUGCUAGUAUAUCUUUUAAAGCUAAAUUCUUUUGGUUUUUAGGUCAAAUUGCGUGCAUUUCAAUUAAUUCAUCGGAUAUCCGUAACUCGUAUUAUUACAUGUACGGGAUGAUUUCGCCAAUCAUAACAUAGCCGGAUGGGAAAAAAAUCACUUAAUUCUUCAUGCUAAUACUAUACCAACUUGAACUUCCAAGAUUAGCCCAUAACAAGCUAAAAACUAAUAAGUGCCAGCAUUCUCAACGCAAGCAACUACUUAGUGUUGUUCAAAAAGAAUUACCAUUAACCAAUACUUCCAUUUUGUCUGAAAUCUUGAAAGUUUUACUACAUAUUUACACGAAAGUUUUCCAUUUUAAGAGGUACGGCAGGUCUAAUAAAAUAAUAUUUUAAUAUAAAGUGUCAGAUACGGUAGGCGUAAUAAAAUACUACUAUGUUAAUAAAAAGGUAUCAUUAUCCUUACUUGUAUAGCUAAAGAAACUUUGACAACAAUAACAAUAAAUUCAGUGUAAUUUCACAAGUGAGAUUUGGGGGAAGUGAUGUAUACGAAGACAUUACUCUUAUCUUAUGCAGACAAAAGAACUUGACAAAGAAAAGUUAAAAUAACACGUUGGAGAUGCAAUAUUGUCGAAAUUUGUAGAGCGCAGUGCAUGAUGUGUGUAGUCGAACAUCUCUGAUUCGAACCGUGCUACAAACAAAAGUUUAAUAUUUAAGUAGAAAAAAAUAAAGAAGCAAGAUCCAUUAUUCACUAAAUUUUGAAUUGUGUGCGCUAAAUGAAUUGCUCGGGAUUCCUAGAUUAUAAAAAAACGUUCUCACAAUUGUCUCAUAGUUAAAACUUCACUCAUACCUAAUAUUUUAAAAACUACCAAAACCAAAUUCAACUUCCCCUAUACCAUUGAAUCAAGAGCUCCAUCUAUUGAACAAAUGUUUUCCAAUAAUAAAAGACGACAGUAGGUAUUAUUCCAAAAUAUUAUUUAGCUGAAUCUCUCUGCACCAGUCCAUAAUCUCAAGCAGCAUUAAACCAGUAAAGAAAUAUAUGCCUUUGGACCAAACUAAGAUAAUAGCAGGUAUAUAACUCUACUAUAAAGAUGAAAUACAUGCCAAAUUCAGCAAACACAAAUUCCAAAUCAAAUUUCAGCAUGUGACUGAAUUCUGAGUUCAUACAACCCAAACAAGAAAUAGAGGUAAUAACCUUGUUAAGGAACUGUUUCCCUUUCUGCCUAUGGAUAAAGAGAAAGAACAACCACAAUAAUAAUAGUGAUAACAAUAUCUCCCUAGCAAAUGUGCAUAUGAGAGCUGCGGAAUUUAAGCUGCUAUCUAAUGAUGAACGUAUGCGCAGCGCUAUACUUACCUUUCAGGGAAGAUGGCAGCCACCAUUAGCUGGAUAUUUUAAACUUUAAUGUAGAUGGAUCAGUGAAGGGACAUCUAAACAAAGGAGGCAUUGGCGGAGUAAUCAGGAAUAAAGAGGAGCCCUGGGUGUUAGGCUAUUACAGUAGUACCCGCAUCAAAUCAUACACAAGCUGAACUACUGGCAUUGCACGCCAUGGCGAAGCCAAGCCAGGAAUUUCAAUAACGGGGUUCAAAAUAUAAAAGUAGAUAUAUGAAGAAGUUAAGGGAAUUCAACAUAUACAAUAUAUACAUAAAGAAUAACUUUGACCUUGAAUAUAUAGUAUAACUUUCAGGCGAAUCCCCUGGUCUGCCCAUGCUUGCAUGGGCGAAAGCUAAGCUGUAGAGCACGCCCUAAAACUUCUGGAAAGUUAAACAGAUUCAACAGAGGUUAUGAGCUUGUUAAACUCAAAUAGAAAUGCUUACAUUUCUAAAAUGCAUGACGGCAGGUUGCUGAUGAGCCAGCUGCGGAAGGGGGGAAAUCCAGCAUAGCUUUCGAGAACGAAAGGCAGUAGCAGAUAUACUGGCUAAGGAAGGAAUUAAGCGGGUAAAUCAUUUUGUACUAAAUAGUUUAGAAUCAGAUAGGAAGGAGAGCAACUUCUGUUAGAAAUAUUGAGAAACCACUAUGCUCUAGAAAGCAUAAACUCACCAGUUUGUACUAGAUUUAACUAGUUAUUAGUAAUAUACUUCUCCCUUUUACCCAAGUAUUUCAAAAACUAACAAAACCAAGGCUUCUGUCUAUCCAAUAAUAGGAAUAAUUUCAGAACAUUAUUUAGCUGAAUCUGCUAGCAGAAGUUCAUAAGCUUAAUUAGCACCAACCAGUAAAGAAAAAUAGCAUUUGAACCAAAGUAUUACCUGAUAAUUGAAAAUUAAACAAGGAGCCUUUUGAACCAAGUAAAAUGGCAGGUGGAUGACAGGGCAAUUCUAUGACAAUUUACAGGUGAAAUCAACUUGGAUAUGAAAUUCAGCAAAAAGAGAAAAUUUCAAAAUCAAAAUUCAAUGUCACUGAAUUUUGAGUUUUUUCUCCCCCUAAUUUUCCUACAAGCCAAACAGCAAUAGAGGUAAUAUACAAACAAUCUCGCAUACGCAACAAGGUAUAAAAACAAAGAAGGUAUAAAAAGGGCAAAAAGGCAAGAUUUUUACGAUUAUAAUAUAACGUAUGUACAAAAUCAACCUCAACUGUAAUAAAAAAGAGCAAAAAAGGUAAAAUUACUGCUAAUAAAAAACACUCAAAUAUUACUACACAUAAAUUACUUUAACUAGCAGCAGUAACUUCUCUCACAGACAUGGGUUUCACAGGCGGGGAAGGAGGGAGUCUAGAAGUGAAAUUACCCAAAGGGGGCUCUUCAUCAUCAAACCCAUCUUCAAAAUUCAGCGAAUAACUCAACGGAUCAUAACGGAACUGAUCAGUAGAGGAGGAGUGUUGUCUCUUGUGCCGGUUUGAUCCAAAGUUGAAAACCAUUAAAACCUUGUCUUUAAAAUUCGAUAGGUUAUUGGGUUCCCAAAUCAGCGCCGGGUUCUCAUCGGAGGAUGACGGCGGAGGCGGAGGAGAACGGUGGCGGUGAGGGAAACAACAGGAGAAGCAAAGGGAGUUCUUCAACUUCUGCUUCAGAGAUGGAGCUGAAUUGGGUACAGAAAAAGGAUGAUUUUCGUCCAUUGGAGUUUGAGAUUUGAGAGUGCAAAUGGAGGAGAAAUUGAGGGGUUUUACACAGUUUUUGUAGAGAAAUGGAAAAUGACGAAUUUGUUUUAACUAUACCUCGUAUAAUAAUAGCCAAAGGUCCAAAUAUUGGGUUGUAAUUUCUAGAAUGGUUUAAAAAUAUCCCUCGUUAUAUUAUUAUUUUCGAAAAUAAUUUAAAAAUAUCUUUUAUUAUACUAUUAGAUUAUCUAUACCCCUGCAGUCAUACUUUAUGUUCAAAUAUGCCCCUCAUUUAAACGGAGGGACACGUGUCAUCGUCUUGUUGGCCAAUUCUAAAUAUCUCUUAAUUAAUUNNNNNNNNNNNNNNNNNNNNNNNNNNNNNNNNNNNNNUAUAAAUAACCCAAUAGUAUAAUGAGGGGUAUUCGUAGACCAUUUUCGAAAAUACAAGGGUAUAUUUGAACAUUUGCCGUAUAAAAAUAUACGCGGUACUUUUACUUUUCCUUUUUUUUUAAUUGCACAAUCUUAUUUAAUUCAGGUGACAUGAAUUGCCCUUGUAGAAGUAAACAAUCCAUUUUAACUUCUACUAUUAAUAAUUGGAGUAAAAUCACAUUUUCUGUUAAUCAAAGGUUAAAUAUAAUUAGCCAAAUAUCAUCAGGAGUUAAAUUGGAAUAAACUAAUAACUCAAUAUCAAGAAAUUUAUUUUUUUCUAUAAAAUAUAUAUGAGUUUUACUCAUUUACUACUAGUCAGUAUAUGAUUUUAGUAGGUUAAUUUGUCUCUCUUUUUUUCAAAAAACAAAAAGAACAUUUUAUGUGCACUCAUUUUUUAAGUCUAUUUUAGAAAAAGGAUAAUGAUUUUCUUUAUUUGAAAGUAAUUUAAUUUGAAUUUUUUUUUAUUGUACUGUUAAUGACGUUGUAUAGUUAUAGAUAUAUUAUAAUGUGUUUAAAUUAUAAAUUUGUAAAAAAGAAAAAAAUUCUUAUUAACUUUCUGUUUAGUCAAGUACGGUCACAUAAAAUAAAAUAUGUAAUAAAUUAGGUUGAUCAAUCUUUGUUCAGGCAAUCUCAACUUGAUGUAGAUUUGACGAAAUGGAUAAGGCAAUUUUUCUCGAAAAAACAUUGCCUAAAUUACCUAAUUUCAGCCUUUUAUUUGUUCAUUUCCUUUUCCACUUUUUGCCAAACUUUUUUCGAAUUUCUCCACUGUCUUUUUUUAAUGUUCUUGAAUAGCUACACUUUCAAUUAAAUAUGAUAAAUUUGAUAAUGCAACUCAGCCUUGACUAUGGUGUAAUAUAUCAAUAAAUUCAGCCUAGAGGAAGUCGCACAUACCAAUUUGUUUUUGUUUUUAAUACUAACUUGCUUACACAAAUUAACAAAAUAAGAACAAUUGUUUCUCCAUCGCAGUUUAUUUAACAAGAUUUCUUUUAUUUUCUCUUCCCAAAAGGAUUUAAACAUUUUUAUAUGUAUAAGUUCUUAAUAUUUGAUUUCAAUUUUGCCUUAACCUUUAAUAAAUUUUGUGUCCAUCUCACUUUACACAUGUUAAAAUCGUGAAUAAUAAAUCAUAUUCUGUAACUCCGUAUCCAGUCAAAUGAACAGGGAUAAAGUAAUAAUAACAUAUUAUAAUUUAUUUUAUUACUCAAUUCAUCUUAUUUUAUGUUAUCCUAAUUGACUGGAUACAAAAUAAAAAAUAAAAAACUUUUAUAAUUUAUAGUAUCAAAUACGCCUUACCUUUUGUACGGUUAUAAAAUUUUAUUAUCACAAAUACAAUAAAAAUUAUAAAUUACAUUAAUUUAAAAUUUAACAAAUUGAUAAAAGAAAUGAUCACAUAAACAGAAACAAAUGGAGUACAAAAAUGCGUCUUGUCACACUGCUUAUCUGCUAAGGCUUGUAGAGCUACAUCUCACAUUUUUCCUAUAUCAGUUUGUUUUUUUUUUCCCUACAAUCUUGAUGUUCGGGUCAAUCACGCACCUCCACUAAUUAUACAAGGUAUAUACUAUCUCAAGAAGUAUAGAGACAAAUUGAAAAAAAUUGUACUAAUAUAUUUUUGCCUCAGCUGUGAACUUAAAUCUCAUGAUCUUAAUCAUUUUAUGAACUACCAGGUCACACCAUUGAGUACUGUAUAUUCAUUUUUCUAUAUUAAAUAAGUGAAAUGAUGGUAGCUUAUAUAUACUAUAAGAUGAGUAACAUGGGUGGGGAAUGCUUUUUGUAUGCCAAAAACUUUAGGGCCUAAAAUCUGCCAAGAUUCAGAGCAAAGAUAAACUCACUUGCAAAAAGACUUCUGCUUUUCAGGUGAGGGUACUAUAUUCUUUCUUUUUAAUAGGGAAAAUGACAAUGAUCUUGACGUGUAUCUUUAUUGAUUGUUCUUUCACUUUUCUCAUGACUAUCAUGUUCUGUAGCAAGAAACUGAUCAGUAUAAGCCAAGAACUUUCUUCUGCUUUAUAACAGUAGCUACAAAUUAAAGACUGUUUCUGAUUUCCUUUGUGGUGUUGUUUUGUCUGAUUUUUUUUUCUGUUCUUGAGUUUGUGUAAAAAUGGCUGGUAUGCUUCCUGGUAUUGAGCAUGCUAGAAGGAGGAGAUUUCAUCAAAGGGGAAGUUGGUUGGAUUCAUCAAAUACAAGGAAGUCCUCUUUUUGCAUCUACACAAGCAACCAUGAUCAAUACCAUCUUAGUUCAAGCUGUUCCAAGGUACUAGUAAAUUCCUUUGACUACUACUCCUCCUCCUUGUUAGAUAGAAAAUUUUGUUUCUGUGUAACGUAUAGGUCACAGGUUUGAUCCGUGAAAAUAGCCAUUAAUAUUUGCAUUAGGAUAGACUGUCUACGUCACACACACGGGGUUCAGCCCUUAUCUGAACACUACAUAAAACGAGAAAUGUUUUGUGCACCGUACUAUUCAUUUAGUAUUAGGAAUAAUUUAAUGGUUAGAUUAAUCUGGAUUUGUGUGCGCAGAGUCUACCAAAAAGGAAGAAUAGUUCUUCCUUUUCGGACUCGAAACCUCUAAUUAGCGGAGGAGGAAUCUAAUCCGUCUCACUAGUACUCUUGCCGGUGGUUGAUAGAAAAUUUUUUGCAGCUGCAUAUUCAAUAUUUUAUGUGGACAGAAUGAGUUGAUACUAAUUCUUAUGUCCUUAUUCUUAAAACUGAAUUAACAGCAAAGAAGUGCAGCAAGCCAUGUAUACCAAGAUGAGAAACUAGUUGAAAUUGCCAGAGAAGCCAAGCAAAGGGUGGAUGAAAGGCUAAGUGCACAAUGGAAAUCAGAAAACAAGAGGUAAAAGUCUAAAUUUCCCCAACCCCCUUAUUUUAUUGUCUUUCUUUUGACCCUUUAUCUACCUAAGCGGAUCAAUAGUUUAAACUUGAUAUGUUCAACAUGUAACGAUCUUAUCACUGAAUAUAUUGCACUAUUGAAAUAUAUGUUCAAAAUUUUAAUUUUUGUUGUAAAUUUAAUAAGUUUUUCACAUAUAUAUCUAUGUUCUGUGUCAAAAAUAUUGGAUUCAGUUGAACCGAUUCGCCCAUGUUUAUUCCACUUGGGAUUGAUUGUUUAUUUCAUUUGUUGUAAUGAAAUCCAGGAGUACUAUAAAUAAUAGACAAAAAAAGCAAGGGGUGGUGGAGAUUAAGCCAAUAUUGGGGAUGAAAGAUUUGCAGAAAGAAGUGUUUAGAUUAAAGAAAAGUAUGACAAAGAGGUUCAUCAAUUGGACAAAGCUGAGGUGGAAGUCUUCAGAACAAGAUGAAUGUGCCAUUUGCUUGGACAAAUUCAGGAUGAGGGACAACCUAAUGCAAUUGCCUUGUGCCCAUAAGUUCCAUUCCAAGUGUCUAGUGCCAUGGCUCGAGUCUAAUUCGCAUUGUCCUUGUUGCAGAAUGGAAAUCUUGACUAUUCUGUAAUCUUUUCUAUAUCGCACCAAUUUUAUCGGAUGAAAAAAAGAAGAAUAAGCUGCAUCUUUCUGUUUCAUGCCCGAAACUUGUAAAAUAGUAAUAUAAAAGCUUUCUUGUUGCCAAGUUUAGUGAUGUUGAGUAAUUGGGAUACUUUGUUUGCAUUAGUUGUGGACUUAGUUAAGAUAUACAAAUUGAUCAUUUGUACGAGCUAUAGGUUAAUUAAGAGAGCUUGUUCAACUGCGCUGUAAAUGGUAGUAAUAUUUAACACUUGAUGUUUAUCAAAUACUCUCAAUCACUAAAAUCAAUAGAGCUCUAUUUUGGCACAAAAUUGAUUUCUUUCCGCUAUGAUGAAAUAAACUCUAUUUAUUUCUAUUAUCAAGAACUAGAUAACUUUUCCUAUCUCAAACUAUUUAAAUUCAAAAACUUAAGAGAGCAAUAUCAAAAUAACGUCAUAAUUCGGUGAAGAAAUGCUAUUUUCAUCACACAUGACAGAAACAACACAUUAAUCUGACCGUAUUUAAACUUUUACCUCUAAGUUUUAAACUUAUUUAUUAAAUGAACCGAGCUCAAAAAAUACAAACUAGACUAUUUUAUGCUGACUUAAUAGAGCAAUUCCAACAUAUCUUAAAGAGCUACUUAUAUUCUACCUGAGAAAUAUUAUUUUAAUUUCCUGAUUUUUAAGACUGAUAUGGUUUGGCUUAAAAAAAAUACGAAUUCAUAUAUAAAAAUCAUACCGGACAAUAGAUUAAUUUAUACUUUAAACCAAAUAUUCAAACUUCAAAAAUAAUUAAAAAAUUAGAAAAUAAAAUUUGGCAUCGAUAAAAGAGACAAAUCACCAAAGAUUGUAAUGAAAAGAAUAUAAUCCUUACAUUUUUAAUUACAAGUCUAAGAUUUGAUAGUGUAUACGGUCAAAACCGAUCUUGCCCUUCGGUAUGACUGAUCGAGACUGGAAGAUGAUAGAUCAAGGUUCAACCUCGUAUAACAUCAAGCUAUGAUGCGAAGUUAGGUUGCUGAACUCAUGACCCAGAGACCGACCAAGAUCGAGAUCGAGCAAAAUAGAGACUGGUCGAGAUCGGUCAAGAUCGAGACUAAGCAAAACCAAGACCAAUCAAGAUCAUGAUCGGCCAAGAUCGAGAUCGAGCCAAAAAAACAGAAAAGCCAGAAUAUUCGCAAUUAGGGCGAGAAUCUCGACAGAAAUCCCAUGGAAUUCCUUCUGUAUUUUUAAUUAUAUUCAAAAUAUGACUUCCCUACUAUAUAAAGGGUUUUUGAUCAUUUGCAGAGACGGGAUAUUUUUUGGAAGGAAAAGCAAUACAUUGCCUUAUUUCAGCUUUCAAUACCUUGUUACUCUAUUCAUACAUUAGCAGAAUUUUCACUUGGUUAGAGAGUAAUCUAACUCGAAAGCCAAAGUUAAUUGAUCUGUUUGGCUUGUAUUUAUUUCUUUUACAGUUAAUUUCGAUAUUCAUUUAUAUAUUUUCUCACUUUGUACCAAGUUAUACUACGUAUCUUUAAAAUCGCGUAUCAAUUCAAUUGUUAUCCGUUUUUCGGGUAAACAGACAUAAUAAAUAUUUCCUCAUUUAACGAGGUUAGGCAUUUUGAACUAAAUUAAUCGAGUCUCAAAGUUGAGAUAAUAUACUUCAAAAAUUAGAGGUCUAAGAUUAGACAUGACGACCGUUUUCUCCUUUAAUGACGUUAGAAAUUUCGAAUCUGAUUUAUAGCCAGUUUGGCCAAGCUCGAGAAAUCUGCUUAUUUUGAUAAGUAUUUUUUUUUAAAAAUGCUUUUGGAGAGAAGCAGAUUGUGUUUGGCUAAUCACGCUGAAAAACACUUUUGAGCAAUAAUUUAUAUUUGACCAAUCUUUUCAGAAAGUGCCUUUAAGUAUCAAAUUACGAAUAAGUACAUUGAAUAUAUUUACUUAAUAGUUAAUAUUAUAAGUAAAUAAAUAAUUUUAAAAAUUUAUUAUUACAUGCAAUAAUUAAAUAUUUUUAUUUUAUUUAAGUAAAAUAUAAAAAUAAAAUUUAAAAGUACUUAAUUCUUUUAAUAUAAGUUAAAUAUAUUAAAAAGCAUCCAACAAAUAUAAAAGCAUUCACCCAUAAAAUCACUAUAUAUUAUAAAGUUAUCCUAAAAAUAAUAAGAAAUAUUUAUACAUUAAUAUCCUAAGUAUUAGGUUUAUCGGUUAUUUUGAUAUAUACUAUAUUUUAUUAAGGGUAUUUUUGGUAUGAAGAAAAGUCAAACUGCUUAUCCUUUUGAAGAGAAACUAUUUUUUUCUGCUUCUCAAAAAUUACUUCUGCUUCUUCCCAAAAGCAUUUUUUUUCCUCAAAAAAAGCUUGCCCAAAUAACUCAAGUUAGGAAAAAAAAAGUAUUUUUAAAAAAUAAUAAUUUUGGUCUCUUGAGAAGCUUGGCCAAACAGGCUAUUAAUCGGGUCCCAAAUUGAUACUAUAUCAUACCUCAAAAUCCAAUUUAAAAAAAAAAAAAAAGGGUGAAAUAUUGUUGUCGUAGGGCGUGGGUGGGUGUUGGGGAGGGAGAGGGCAAAGGUUUGCAUUUCCUGGGAGGUUCCCGGGAGGGAAGACAGUCAAAACUCCCAAAUUCCCCUUCCUUAACUUCUACGACAUAGAAUCAUUCAAACUUUUAGAUCUGAACAAACAUUGUCCGAUUCAAAAAGAAGAAGACUUCUUCUUCUUAUUCAAAAACCCUUUGCACAAUUUCUCAGUAAUAUCAUAAACCCAUAUACAAACAAGACCCAAAUCACACCAAAAAACACGAAAGAUUGGAUUUUUAAAUCAAUGAAAUUAGAAAAAACAUGAUGGAACUCAAACCCCUUAAUUUGGUUCCACCUAAUAGACCCCCACCAGGUCUCAAUCUCUUUCCAAACCUCAAUCCAUCACAAAAGACUUUAACUUUCCACAAAUUUUUAGUCCUUUUCCUAACUUUUAUAGCCUAUGCAGCUUUUCAUGCCUCAAGAAAACCUCCAAGUAUAGUAAAAUCAGUUCUUGGCCCUGAGAUCAAAGCCCAAAAUGGCACUAAUGGGUGGGCCCCAUUUGAGGGUCCAAGUGGGCCUCACCGUUUAGGGGAGCUUGAUCUUGCAUUCUUGUUAGCAUACUCAAUUGGGAUGUAUUUUGCUGGACAUAUUGGUGAUAAUAUUGACUUAAGGCUUUUCUUGACUGUUGGAAUGCUUGGUAGUGGCAUUUUGGUUAUUGCUUUUGGUUUAGGUUAUUUUCUUGAUAUACACUGGCUGUUAUUUUUUGUAAUUGUUCAGAUUUUAUGUGGGUUGUUUCAGUCUAUUGGUUGGCCUUGUGUUGUGGCAGUAAUGGGAAAUUGGUUUGGCAAAGCUAAAAGGGGUUUGAUAAUGGGAGUUUGGAAUUCAAAUACCUCAGUUGGUAAUAUUAUUGGUUCUUUAGUUGCUUCCUCUGUAUUGAGUUUUGGUUGGGGUUGGUCUUUUUUAUUGCCCGGGAUAUUCAUUUUGGUCGUGGCAGCGUUUGUGUAUAUGUUUCUUGUAGUGAGCCCUGAUCAUAUUGGUUUAGAAUUGCCUUCAAAGGAGAUUGAGAUGAAUGUAGAGGGAGUUGCAUUGGUUGGUUCAGAGACAGGUGAAACUGAAGAGGAGGGAGUCGUCGUGGAACCCGAAACUGAGGGUGCAAUUGGGUUCUUGCAAGCCUGGAGGUUACCAGGAGUUGCACCCUAUGCAUUCUGCUUAUUUUUCUCUAAGCUAGUGGCCUACACUUUUUUGUAUUGGCUGCCCUUCUACUUAAGGCACACAGGUACUCAUUUCGCCGAGCUUUUACUAGGAAAAACUACUUUUUGAUGCUACUUGAUUAAGUUGAGUAUUGUUUCCAUUUUGGUCGUUGACAACGCUAGCAUCCUAUUUUCUAUAUGUAUAACUCGACUUGAAUGAUAAGAACUUGUUGUUGCUUUCCUCUUACACUGGAGUAUUUGAGAUUGGAGAUGCGUUUGGUUGUUUCAUUGCAUAUUAUAUUUAUUUGCUUAUGCUAGACGAGCAUAGGGGUAGCAAAGCCUUCACUUGCUUAGUUUGGGGUUUGAAAUGGUUAUGGUGUUCAAAAUCAGCUCUUAAUCUGCUGAGCUAAUGAUAUUAAUUAACAUACAAUUGCUCUGUUUAUGAGUAAAGUCUUCCCCUGUUCUACAUUGAUGAGCCUAACAAAACAUUUUUUUUUUUAAAUCUAAUGUCAUUUGUGAAAAAAUUUAAGCUUCGUUUCAACCACUCCUACAUGGGUUACACACUUACAAUUUUGUUGUUAUUGCAGUUGUAGCUGGUGUGCAGCUAUCUCACAAAAGUGCUGGGAUCCUUUCGACAGUUUUUGAUAUUGGAGGAGUCGUUGGAGGGGUUUUGGCAGGGGUCACAUCGGACAUAAUUGAAGCUCGUGGGGUUACCUCCAUUGUAUUCUUGUUGUUAUCAAUGCCAGCCCUUCUUUUUUAUCGCAUAUAUGGGAGUGUAUCUAUGUUUACCAACAUCGCUUUGAUGCUCGUUUCUGGUGCACUUGUUAAUGGUCCUUACUCCCUUAUUACCACAGCAGUUGCAGCAGAUCUUGGUACUCAGAGCGACAUAAAGGGGAACUCUCGUGCAUUAGCUACUGUGAGUGCAAUUAUAGACGCUACUGGUUCGGUGGGGGCAGCUCUCGGGCCACUUUUAGCAGGAUAUAUUUCAACAAGAGGAUGGAACAGUGUGUUUGUUAUGCUAAUUCUUUCAAUAUCCAUUGCAAGCCUAUUGUUAAUCCCUAUUGUGAAAAAUGAGAUUAAAGAAAAGCUGAAUGAGGGGAAAUGGCUUUGGAUCAGCAUGAUUAAAAGGUGACUCGGAACCUCUUGAAGGCAAAGCUACAAAUACCUCUAUUUGAUUAUGAAAAUGGUUCACGAUUUGAACCUUUGAAGUAGUGCAGGAGCCCCUAUUUUUUUGUAUAGAUUCUUAUAGCUCUCUAUAGAGAAAUGAGGAAUUCAACAGUAGACUUUCAAGAUAAUGCUUAUACAACUACUAUUAUUCUGUAUAAUUGAGCUGACUUUCGAGUAUCAUUUUUGUGCCUUUGGGAUUUCUUGUAGCAUGAGGUGAAUUUAAUGCUAGUCUUUUGAAACAUAUUGAUGAAAUAAUUUUCUCACCUCCUCUCUAUUUAUUUAUUUAUAUAUUUGAGCGCCGCUGAAAUAUCAGAUUCCACUUUCACUGUUCCUUGAGCUGAGGGUCUAUCGGAAACAACCUCUCUACCUUCACGAGAUAGGGGUAAGGUCUGCGUACACAUUACCCUCCACAGACCCCACCUGUGGGAUUACACUGGGUUUUUUUUUGUUGUUGAGCGCUGCUAGAAUUUGGUUUACCUUGGAUCUUGAAUUGAGCAUGGCCUUGGGCAUUUGCAGCAUCAGUUAAUUGAUCUCAAAACUUAGUUUUGGUAUGCUGUAGUUGGUGGUCUAAUUAGGAUUGACGAAACCUCGGGCAACUCACUAGGUGGGUUUUUUUUUCUCAUUCAAUAGUGCAACGUGGGAAGCAUCGAUAUGUUGUGCUCAAUAUCUCUAUAUCCAAGUUCCAUGCCCAGCUAAUUGAUUUUCUGUUCAUGUGUAUCUUGUAAAUCCUGUAAUCUGUUGUCAAUUAUGGUUUCUUGUGAUUGUACCUCCUUUAUUUCCUGGAUUUCUUUAGGAUCAUUAGUCACUUCAACUUGAUAGCAGGUCAAGAUCCUAAAAUGUGUUGCUAAAGACAGUUUUAUAUUGCCUCAAGUAAAGUUGCUCCAGUUGAAAGCAGAUUUCUCUGUUGGCUUGCUUCGAAGUCUAGAAAUAAAGAACGCUUAGCUGCUUCUGAAGAUAUCAGAGGGAGUUCAUGCUCAGUCAAAAGAGGUGUAGGAAUAUGACCAAAAAGGUACUACUCAAUUCAUUUUGUUAUCCUGGUUUUGGUAUAGGCAUGUUGUCAAAUUGAUUAACAGAACAUGCCUUAAAAUUUUGAUUAUAUUUUGGAUUCACAAAGAAGAGAGGGCUCGAAGUUGUUGGCUUAACAGCAACAAAGAUGCAAGAAAAGCAUACUUUGAGAGUCAAAGCUAAUUUCUCUAGCAAGGCGAUAGAUGAGAAACAAAUUACAGACUGACUUUCAAAGAUCGAAAAGCGAAAAAGACCGGUAUUUUACUUCUCAAAGAAAUGUCCAGUAUUUUAUUAUCAAAUCAAAACAACAAGAUGUACCAAUAAUCUUGGUGAAAGCAGUUUACAAGAGGAAAAGAAUGCUUUUGCAGAGUCUGGAAACAUCAUAUUGGCUUAUCUUUUAUGAGGGGUUUCCUACUUUGGCUUUGCAUGUAACUACAUUCAAUUGGUUGAAUGCACUAAACGUUCUAGUCAGCAAAAAUAGACCUGCUGUGUUGAAUAAGAAAGAAAUCUUUAAUGCAAAAAUCUCAACAAAAUCUGCUUUCAACUUAGCAUCAGAAAUCGAAGUUUAAUGAAGGUAUUCAGGUUAGUUAAGUUCAGUGAAAAUAUAUAUUGUUAUUCUUGCUUUCAUUCCGUUGCAUCAUUUAGUAGUUUACUUUAACUUAGUUUAGUUUCUUUGGUAGAUCAUAUUUCAAAUUGCAAUUAUAGUGGUCCACUAUCUAUCUAGAGAGAUAUUUCUUGAUACUAUUUUGCUAAUAUCUUCUUCAUGUUGUACAUUUUAACUAUAGUGAGAUGAUUCUUAGAAAAUAUCUUCUUCAUGUCAAAGAUGCUUGCAGUGCUAUCUUAAGGCAGUGCCGGUUAUGUUAGAGAGCCAUAGUAAAUCUCUAAUCAUAGUAUCUUUACUGCUCAUAAAUCUCUAAUCAUAGUAUCUCUAAUCAUAUAUUGUAAAAGGAUGGCUUCUUCACUACUAUAUUUCCUUUUUACUACUGCCGGGAUUUCGCUUUCUUUGAGUCGAGGGUCUAUCACAAACAACCUCUCUACCUUCACAAGGUAAGGGUAAGGCCUGCUUGCACCUUACUCGCACAGUUCCCUCUUCAGACCCCACUUGUGGAAUUACACUGAGAUUAUUGUUGGUGUUGUAAAAAGAAAAAGGAGGUGUUCUCUGCAUGUGGAAUAUGGUUGAGGAAAUGAUAAAAACUUUGUUUUUGCUUCAAUCAUAUGGCUGUGUACGACUUAUAUAAAGCAUCCAAGUAUGCAUGUUGAUUAUGUUUCCUUUUAUUUUUCAUAUAUAAUCUGGUGUUUCCAAGGCUUCCUUUGAAACUUUAGACAUAAAUAGAGAGGUUUGAUUGUAGAAGAAAGCUGCUAAAUUGAUCGAGCAAUAUGAGUAAAAGCAAGAGCGUUUAAAGCAUAAUUGUUUCAAAUUUCAUCUAAGCUUUUUGAGAUUUAAGCAAAGAAAAUUUAUUACUCAUUGAUAAAUCUAAUGUUUAUGUUACCAUAAAAUUGAAGUUCAGAUAUGUGCCCUUUAGUGUAAAGGGAGCAUACAAUGGAAGAAUGAUAUAUUUACAAAAAUUUUGGUUCCUUGGCUUGCUCAUUUCUCCCUCAAGCAUUUAUUCCAUCUGCUUGAAUUCUAAAUUGGAGCAUUAAAAGGUAGAACAUAUCCUACCUCUUAGGAAUUUACAAUGUACUCCAGAAGAAUGUAGUAAGUGGCAUUAUACACUUCCUAAUGCCAAAAGUGGUAAUUGCAAGCGACAGCUCUACCCGUCGAGCAAAGAUCUCAGGUUCUGAAGUCCUUCUGCAGAUAUACACUUCCUAAUUCUUGAUCUUUGGAAUACUAUAGGUGGUGGUGGUUCAGAGUGAAAACAUACCAUGACUACUGUUAAGUUGUCGAUAGCACCACGUUUAUUGGCCUCGUCCACGAUUUCCUUGCAGCAUAAUUUUACGUUGUUAUGUUCUUGCAGUCUCCGUCGGGCAAAAUCCACUGCAUUUUGGCUUCUGAAAACAUCCCAUAUUCCAUCACUACCGAUGAUUAGGAACUCGUCCUCCUUUGUUAAUGUAAGCAGCUUUAGUUCGGGUUCAGCACUCAACGGCCCGCUCUUUUCGACUUCUUUCAGUCCCUUAAUGUGCCAGUCACCCAAUGCCCGGGUCACGCCUAACUGUCCGUUCAAAUAGCCAUCAUCGACAAAUCCACCCAAUGACUCGACACGUGUUCUUUCACUGACACAACAAGGUCUGUGAUCCUUUGACAUUUCUAUAGCCAAUCCACCUCGAGAGAGUACUGCUCGACAAUCGCCAGCAUUUGCCACGAGUAAUGAUCUGUCCAUCAGAUUUUAGUACAGAAAGAUAGAAACUAAUAUUAGACACAGAUCUCCAAUGUAGCCUAUAAAUAAGAAGACAGGAUAAAAGGAAAACAGUGAAAAGAAAACGAAAAAGAAUAUAAGAUGAAUGCAUAGGAAUGGUUACCUUCCAAAUAUCAUAGCAGUGAGUGCAGUCGUGCCCGAGGACAAGGCAGAAUCAACGGAGCAUGACUUGGCAAAAGCAGCAUCUGUCUCCAAAAAGGAUUUACUGACCACUUUUUCGAGUUUCAAAGGAAAAUCUGCAUCCUCAACAAUGAUUCUUGGUAAGAAGUCACGUACAAAGAUUGCUGCUCCCUUCCCACCAUGGCCAUCAAAGACCUGUCACUAAAACCAUUUACAUCAGUGGUCGGAGAAUAUCAGAUACUAGAUAUGCUAAGAAUUUGUAAAAAACUCGGCUUAUUAUCUCUUUCCAAUUCUUCUCCACUCCUCUGAUGGAAAUCCUAUUUUAUAUGAAAGUGAUGAGUGAUUCUUAAUAAAUAACUAGUAAAAUAUUUAGACAUUAUAUUUGGUCCUAAAUAGGAAACUAAUAAGAUAAGCUACUUAUACGCUGCAGGUCCAAGUGUGAACUCCUAUGCCACAUAGGCAACGAUGCGCUUCAGCAGGUACAUUUUCCAAGAGUAGUAACAACUAACAAGUACAAACAACAAUGUGUCAUGGUGUUACUGAUUCCGCAGUGUUUUUAGUUGGACUAACAUUUCUGAUCAUUAUGCUAUCUCUGCAUUUAAGUAGAGUGGUCUCUUUGGCUCUUUUAUGGUGCAAAGCAGUGUCAUGAUCUGAUAAGCACGACAAGAGAGCUCUAAUUCAUCAGUUGCCACCUACAGUUUUUAUACAUUUGUUAAGACAGUUAAUAACUAAUCCUGUACCAUUUUGCAAUAGCACAAGGCCAGCACCAUGAAAUCCGCCAGCAGCGUACUUCAUCUCACAACCCUGAGGAACACAGGGCACUCCUUUGUAGUUUUGCUUCUAAUGUUCUUCUUUCUGCCAUUUUCUGUUUUUUAUUGAAAUUGUACACACAUGGGUAUGAAUGUGAGAGUAUGUGUAUAUUUUUGAAUUGUAUAUCAAGUUUUCAAAGAGAUUACGUAUCCAGCUUCUGUAUUGCACUCUUUUUCCUUCUUUAGUACCAAAGGCCCCUCACUCUCUUUUAGUUUGAGGCAGCUGGAAUACUUCAUAAAGUUUUUAAUAUCUAGAAAAGACCUAAAAGAAUGGCUCUAACACUGUCAUAAAUAUACAACCUUCCCUACAUCAAUACCUAAAGUAAAUCUUAUAGUAAGGAAAGAUACAAAUGCACCUACUAGUAAAAUGAGUAAAUAGUCAAGGAUGGAUAUCGUGAUGUCAAAUGAGUUUAAAGAACUUACUCCAUAAAAAGAGAUAGCCUCUUCCUCACCAAGAAUACUAUGACCAAAAUUCUUAGCCAAGUCCGCAAUACAGAUGUGAGUAUCUUCCAUAUCAAGACGGCCUCCAAUAUCCGACCACUCCCCAGACCUAAGAGUUGGGAGGAAUUUAUUGAAGAGUACUAUCUCUGCAAUAGUUGUAUCCUCGGAAAUACUUUCCAUCUAGAGAACAAAGGGAAGAGAAAAGGAAAAAAAAAUCAGUUAUAACGCAAUGAAGAAGUUUAUAGCCAUGCCACAAUCAGCUUAGAUGUUGUACUGUUCAAGUGAGCUUUCUAUUUAGACACGAAACGUAAUAGAAUUAGUUUAGGAAACAAUACAGAAGAACCAUAGGGACAUGAAAUGUGUGAUACUACUCAAAGAAACACAAGAUGAAUGCAAGUUAUUGUAACGAUUUGCUACCUUAUCCCAAAAACUCCAACGAUUUACUAUGGCAUACAUAGCAAAAAAAACAGGAUUCUACAAAUGUACCAUCAGUCAAAUUAGUUUCCAAAAGACAAAGAUUUCCAUAUAUAACCAAGAAUAUCCAUUUAUCAAUAACUUUUUCUACCUGAAAGAUCGAUUAGCACUGUACAACAGAUGAAAAAGAUCUCCAAAUCCAUCUAAUACCGGAGCCUCUCCGACGAAUCCCACACUUAACAAGAAGAAGAAAGGAUCCCAAGAUAUGCAAAUCACAAAAGAUAAACACCCAUAAUUAAUAAAUAGACCAUCUAACAAAAGAGAGUGAGAAAACCAACAACAACAACGUACCCAGUGUAAUCCCACGUUGUGGGAGUCUGGAGAGGCUAAAGGGUACGCAGAACUUACCCCUACCUUGUGGAGGUAGAAAAGCUAUUUUCGAAAGACCCUCGGCUCAAGAAAACAAUUCUCAACGGGUUUGAACAGGAGAACAAUAAUAAGAAGGUCAUGUCGGAAAUACUAAAGAUAAGAACAUUAACAACAAAAAACAAAGCAUUGAUAUAGCCAAGCAACCGGUAGAGAGUGAGAAAACCAAAAAAAAAAAGAUGAUUACUAAGAUAGCAACCAGUAGAGAAGGAUGACAACCCCAAGCAACCAAAAUACCAAACCAUAAUUGACAGCAACCCAAUUAUUUUUUCUUCAAAGUACAUCUCCAAUAAUUACUACACCAUAAAAGGGGAAAAAAAUCAAAUCUUUGCAACUUGCUAGAUUAUUGAACAAUCCCAAAUUGACCAAAUUCAUUAUACAAAAAAAGCAACAGCUCUCAACAUCCAUUUGCAAACCAAAGAACAACUCUAAAGUAUAACUACAACAACAGCUACACCUCAAUCUCAAAUUAUCCAUAUAAGUGGAGAUUAAUGCAUAAGUAGACCAGAAAACAAAAUUAUAUAAUAUUGAAAAAAUUCCAAAGCUACAAAAUUUACAAGAUCAAUAAUGGUAGUAAUAAUUAAAGAAAGAGAUCCUUACUGGGAAAGAGUUUCUGAUCACAGAAAGGCUAGAAGAUGUGUUUUUUUCACAAUUCUCUUUUUGGGUAUUCCCCAAUUCACCUUCCACUUGUAAAGAUCCAAUCUUUACAUUAUCAUCAGUCUUUGAAAUGUCCAAAUUCUCCAUUUCCUCACUCACUUCCUCUGACUCUUGUACACACAUUUCUUUUUUAUCAGUUUUAGCAAAUAAAAAUAUACCCAAAAUGGUUUUUUUUUUGGGAGAAUCAAAUUGGAAUUUUUUUCACUUUAUUUUCUGCAAGUUGAAAACUUUGUGAAGCGGAGAAUAUACAUAUCAAGAAUUGGAAAUUGAGGAGAAGAUUCUUGGAAUAUGUGAUGUGAUGAUAAUUAAUCUCAAGAUUAUAUAUAUACUGUUUAAUGCAAAAUAUAGUAAUAAUAUAGAAGAGAGACAAAUGGAAACUUGAGUUUUCCAGAUUUUUUCUAAGAAAAAGUGUAGUUAUAGCUGUAUUAUUACUGUGAAAGCAAUGAAACAGAAGGGGCUUUUCCCUUUUUGUUUUUGGAGGUUUUUAGGUGUAGAUCUUUUUAUUUCUCUUUUAAUAUUUGUUGGUUUGUACCUACUUUAUAGGAAACUUUGGGGGUACUAGUGGCUUCUUUUCCUGUUAAUUUAAUUAGGUAUUGUCAAACCUAGGAAAGAAAUAAAAAGGAAAAAGAAAUAUUAUUUUGUAUUUUAUCUAUAUAUACAGUCAAAUCUCUUUAUAACAAUAUUGUUUGUUUCGAUAUUUUUUGCUGCUAUAGUGAAGUGUUGUUAUAGAGAAUAUAUAUUAUAACAUAACAUGAAAAAAUUAAUUUAAAAAAAAACCUAAUCGUUAUAGUAAAGUGUUGUUAUAAAAGAGAAGUCUGACUGUAUCAUUAUUCAUUCAAUAUAUUUUUAGUACUUCAAAAUAUGUGUUAGGUUUUUAGUGUUGAUUUUUUUUUAAAAUGAGAGAUGAAUUCAGAAGCUUUUGACUAAAAUGCUGAAGUUGAGCAAAUUAAUUUUCAAAAAGGAAAAAGAUAUUCUGAAAGUAAAGGAGUUCUUACAUUUUACAAUGAAAAUGAAUAAUCAAUUUUUAAGAAAGAUUAAAUCUAUCGCAACAAUUGGAGGUUUUAAUUAUUUUUGGCCCAGAACAAAAUAUAUUAAGGGAAACCAUGUUGACAACAUAAGCUUAGUAGACUCCAAAACAAAAUUAUGUUAUUGUACAUAUAUGAUUAUAUAGUAAAUAAUUGAUCAAAAGCAUUUUUUCAAUUGGACACAAGUAAAUAAUAUAUUACCGUAUGUACAUAUUAUUACACUAUUUGAUACUAUUAUUCUUAUCAUAACUCCUUAAACUUGAUUAUGUUGUAAUUUACAAUAUUUUUUUGAUUUUCAUCUAUUGUACGGUAUUCGUUUUGAAGUCUUGACAAUUCAAAUUUACGAAGCAAUAAUUAUAAAAUGAUGACUCAGGAAGCGAUGAUAAAAAAUGAAAUAUAACAAAAACACACCAUAUAUAGAUGGAGGAAGG
rnacentral:lncRNA from 1 species